rnacentral:lncRNA from 1 species
UGUUAAUGAUACUUUGAUAAAAUAAUCCAAAUUAAGUGACCAAUUUUUAUGCGCCUCUCUGAAUUAUAUCGAAAGUGGAAAUGAACUGAUUUGCAUAUUGUUGUCAAAUAAGGUAAGGUAUACUAUAAAUUUAGCUUGGACAUAAUAACCGUAACGAUUGUCACGUGAUACAAUGUUUUUUUUUAAAACACACUUCGUUGAUUAUCACUCAUGUGAUAUAGAGUAGAAUUUAAACCUAUUGACAUUGCCAAAGAUGUAUUAUUUUAGUGUAUGUAAACACUACCACGUGUUUCUAAACACGUGUAUUAUACAACAGUUACUGUUAAAAAUUAAGUAAAUACGGAUAGUGCUUACUAGUUUAGACACUUUC